GGUCGGUAAAACUCGUGCCAGCCACCGCGGUUAUACGAGAGACCCUAGUUGAUGACUACGGCGUAAAGAGUGGUUUGGGGCCCUACAAUAAAUAAAGCCAAAGACCUCCCAAGCUGUCAAACGCAACCCGGAGACGAAGGAAGCCAAAACACGAAAGUAGCUUUACCCCCUAUUCCCGACGCCACGAAAGCUAAAAGACAAACUGGGAUUAGAUACCCUUCUCCCGCUUAGCCCUAAACUCUGAUGGAAAACAUACAAAUAGCAUCCGCCAGGGUAAUACAAGCGCUUUCUAAAAACCCAAAGGACUUGACGGUGUCUCAGACCCGCCUAGAGGAGCCUGUUCUAGAACAAUAAUCCCCGU
rnacentral:rRNA from 1 species